rnacentral:misc_RNA from 1 species
GUGAGCGACUUAAGUGCUGACUCUUCCAAGCUUGUGACGCCAGUGAAGCUGACAGUUUCGUUCCAGCCUUACACGCUGUGGAAGGUGUUCUAGUGUGUAGCAUCCCCACACCUGGUUCUUCAGUUUCCGGUGCGACUUCGUGCUUGGAUUCUUCUGGCUUGUAUUCAUCUUCGCUUUCCGUGCGGCGUUUCCGGAACCACCACACAGAAAAGGUCACGCGGAUGCCGCCACGCCCAUGACGUCACUUUCACUUCCUGUGUGACGUACGGGAAGUUAGGGUUAUCGCUCAGCUGUGCGAGGAGGGGGCCGUGCGCCUCGAAAGUUUUUCUCGGCUGCCGUUCCCGACCACGAGUGCAAAUGAAGAGAUCCGGCCGUAGGAAGAAGAUGUCGGCUAAUUUGCCCGGCGAGUUCGCCAAGUUCGCCAAGAACAGCAAGUAUUUGCGGCGGAUAUGGAGAGACACCAAAGCGUCGCUCGACGACAUCGCCAAGUGCGGCUAUUUCAGCGAAGACCAGCUUGCCCAGCUGUGUCUGAAUGAGACAGACGACCAGUUCAUUGGGAGCGCAGUGACUCAGCCUGUUGCCCUGGUGGUUCUUGGCCACAGCUGCUGGGCCAAGGCACGGGUGGUCAAUGAGCUGUUUGGCCAGGCGGUGCUGCCAGUCACCUCGCCUGUUGGGGAUGAAAGCCAGCUCACCUGGAGAAUGGUUCGUUUCUCAGCAGGUAACCAGACAGAGAUUAGCCUGGCCUUGCCCAAUAGUUUCGAGCUAGUGGAGCACUUGGCCGCCUAUGACCAGCCCUGGAGGACUAUUCCACGGGCUGACCUUGAGGUCGAGGCCGAGGCACGCAAGGAUCCAGCCCUGAGCACUGCUGCUCUGGAGAUCCGCAUGAAGCACCCACUGCUUCGGGACGAAGUGCAUGUUGUGGCCACACCUUGCAACGACAGCCUUUCCUUCGAGCAGACCUAUCGGCGAGCGACUGAAGGUUGCACUCCGCUGCUGUUAUAUGCAUUCGCAGAGGAAGCCUUCACAGAGAAGGAGCUGGCUGACCUGUACGAACUGAAGCGGAUCGCUCCCAAAACCCCAGUGCUGUUCAUCCGGGCCAACAUGCCAGCCACAUCGGAGUUGACGGAAUCUGAGCAACACGCUCGCAGUCUGCGCAAUGCCAGACUUGCAGAGCAGGUUCAGCUGUGCACAGCAUAUGUUGACGGCGAGAACAGUGGCAGCGAGGACAAACAGGCGGCGGAGACCCCCAUGCAGACCGAGGAGGAAGCCCCAAGGUCCGUAAUCACCUUGCCCGUGACAGCACAACAGCAGCUGAGCAACCUGGGCUACCUUUCCAAGCACUUUCCAGAGAAACAGCGGCACCAUGACCGGCGGAGGCCGAACAUGAGGUGCGCCAAUGGGUGCUCACCCAGCUCGGAGCUCGUCGAGAACUUCGACGACUUUGCCUGCAACGUCUGCCUGUUCGUACGGAGCGCUCUUCAGUCGUUGCUGGUGAGUGCCGCAUCACUGCUCAACACAACGCACUUGCACUGCCUGCGAACAUUCAUCCUGACGGCAUUCGACAUGACGCGGGACAUGAUGAUCACGCCCAAGCGGCUGGCGUAUGCGCGCAAGCAGGAGACGGGACUCUACCAUGCGCUUAUGGAGGUAGCCAGCCACAAGCAGGAGGAGAUCCGGCUACUCAUUGUGGGUGCCAUCGAAAACUUGCGCAGCGAGGUGCUUCAGCGAGCGGCCGAGUACCCCUUCGAAGGUGUCAUUGUGGACGAAGGUGAGCAGGCUGCCCCACCAACAGCCAGUGUCCUCCAGAUGUGCACAUCCCAGAUUCAGGACCUCGUGCUGGGAAUGCUCAAUGCAGCUGUCGCCGAGAAGCUUGUCGGCUCUAUGAACUGCCUUCGUGAGAGCUUUGUGGGCACUCUGGAGAGGUGCCUAGCAAGUCUGGAAGGCGUCUGCAAAGAAGACGACUGUAUGCAGGCCAGCAAUGCUCUCAAGCAAAUUCUCAAUGCAGCAUACCAGGUGGAGGUUACCGUGAAAACCAGCUCUUCGCUCCUCUGGGUCCUCUGGGAGAAAAUGAAGCAGCUUGUGCAGACACUGCCAGGUCGUGCUCCACCACGGAUCGACGCGGAGUGGCGCCAGAGGGUGGCCGCAGAUAUGCUAGAGUCACUGAGCGAGUGGCGGCUGGCACGCUGCAUCUGCGCUCAGUUCCGUGAGCGACUGCGGUCCUCGCAUGAGCAGUUUCAAGCUGCCAUGCGACAGCUGGAGGCUGUCCACUCCGGCCGCCUCGAGCGUACAGAGACGCAGAGGAUCAAGGUACGAAAGCUGCAUGCACCACGCCUGGCCCGCUGUGCCCUGGAGAGCACAUCCUUGCGGGACGAGAUCCUUUACGGGAUGCCCCAGCUGGGGCGUGAACUGGGCCGGGGCCAGUACGGCGUAGUAUACUCGAGUGAACCCUGGGGUGGGCGGUCUCCAUGCGCGGUCAAGUCAGUGGUGCCUCCCGAUGACAAGCACUGGAAUGACCUGGCCAUGGAGUUUUUCUACACACGCAGUGUGCCUGACCAUGACCGCAUUGUACAGAUACGGGGGUCUGUCAUUGACCACAACUACGCUGGUGGUACCACACCCGCGGUGCUGCUUGUCAUGGACCGCAUGCAGCGGGAUCUCUACACGGCCUUGCGAACAGGACUCAACUGGCCAGCCAGGCUCAGGGUUGCACUGGAUGUUGUUCAAGGCAUCCGGUUUCUUCACAGCCAAGGCCUCGUGCACAGAGACAUCAAGCUAAAAAAUGUCUUGCUGGACAGGGCGAACAGAGCAAAGCUGACAGACCUAGGCUUCUGCAAGCCAGAGGCGAUGAUGUCCGGCAGCAUCGUAGGCACUCCCAUCCACAUGGCUCCCGAGCUGUUCACAGGUCGCUAUGACAACAGCGUUGACACGUAUGCCUUCGGCAUCCUCUUCUGGUACAUCUGCGCGGGACAUGUCAAGCUGCCCUACGUCUUUGAGCAGUGCCAGACCAAAGAUCAGCUGUGGUCGUGUGUCCGGAAAGGUGCUCGGCCCGAACGACUGCCCCAGUUUAACGAUGACUGCUGGCGGCUAAUGGAGCACUGCUGGGCCAGUGACCCCCAGCGGCGGCCGCUGCUCGGUGAUGUGGAGCUUGUGCUCGAGGCCAUCUCGGAGCAACAGCAGCGGGAGGCCUCGCUCGCCGAGGAGACCCAGCAGCUCUCAGACAGCCUCUGUGCCAGCCAGCAGCAGCAGCAGGCGAGCGGCUAUGGCUACACUCCCUGCCGGCCAAUUGUGCCCACCAAGGACAAGUACGAAAUGGCUGUCCCAGUGUCCGAGCUGAGCGUCAGCACUGAGUGAUAACCGCUUUGCCCUGCAACUACUACUCUUGCUUUAACUGUUCAUGAAGGGAUCCGCUGCUGCGCGAGUAUAGCACGUUGAGGUAUUGCGGUAAACGUGGCAGUGCAGCCGAGUCUGGACGAGACCGACUGAGAGCCAAGGUUGCUGCGUGGUACUGGCAUCUGUCUUGCCCAUUGGCACUGGGCGACUGCUUGCUUCCACUCUCGUGUUAUCGAAAAACAGGACAGCUUGACCUGAAGGCAGCUCACCAACAGGUGAAAUCGACUGCACAGAACUGUGGCCGAACCCAGUCACAGCAGGAUGUUUCCAUCACUCACAUAGGCAUCAGGACUGAGUACCAGUCCUUUGUCCUAUGGAAAUGCAGAGAGAGCGCAGGGUUGCCAAACAUAACAUGCAUGCAGCGCUUUGUGGCUCGUGCUGCUGACAUCAUUGAGCACUGUCGAAACUCUCGCAGCUUAUUUGUCGCAUCUUAA